rnacentral:rRNA from 1 species
GACGAACGCUGGCGGCGUGCUUAAUACAUGCAAGUCGAGCGGGCACCAUCCGGUGGCAACACUGGUGAAGUGCUAGCGGCGAACGGGUGAGUAACACGUGAGCAACCUGCCCCCAAGUCUGGGAUAACCCCGGGAAACCGGAGCUAAUACCGGAUGCCCUCGUCGGAUCGCAUGGUCUGACGAGGAAAGUUUUUCGCUUGGGGAGGGGCUCGCGGCCUAUCAGCUUGUUGGUGGGGUAACGGCCUACCAAGGCUU